AUACACACUAAGUCAACUCAUAAAGUAACGAGUUGUAAACCAUAAGGGGGGGAUUGAGUGUUAUAGAUACUGGGAGAUCAGGCAGAAACACAGAGGUUGCAGAGUCUAACCAGUCACAAGACUCCAGGCAGAAAGAAACCACGAACUGCAGACUGGCAGCAGGCUCCAAUUAAGAGAAGGAAUCUUCUCCAGGGCAGAUGUAGCUUUUCUCAAUAAUUAACAAUUCAGAUUUUUCCAAAGUUAAAUACUAUAUUCCUAGUGACUCUAACUAAACAAAAGAUCUCUUAGAUGAAAGUACAUUUUAAACUGCUCCAGUCAUGAAGGAUACGAAGUACAGUGAUCAAGAUACUCACCAAAACCAGACUGAAGUUGAAAGAACAACAAACAACUGCUUAAGACAAUGAGCUCCCAAGAUGCUACUGCCAGGAAAGGUCUGCAGCACUGAAGUCAGUGACACCAAGCUCCCCAUGAGAAAAAGGCAUCUCAGCAAAACAGAGGCAAGAAAGAAUACCAAUGAUUGGCUUAUACAGGGCCUGAACCUAACCUGGUUUGAGAAGGUGUG